GACUCGGUUCUAUGCUAUUCACUUGUUCUAUUCUUUGCUGUCGCUUGUUCUAGUCUCUGCUGGAGCUAUUCUGUAUUCUCUUUCAUUGCUUCUACAGGUGUUCCUGUUCGUCGGUUGUUCUAGUCUGCUGGUCGACUCAGGCAGUCGAAAAUGGCAGAAGAAAACUUGAAAACAGAAAUUCCUGUCUUUGAAGAAUGAAGACAAUGGAGUGUCAGAGCAUUCAAAGGGCAAUGAAGAGUCAAGUGAACCUUCUUCAACGCUAGACAAUGAUGAAGAUGUGGGAAAAGGAAAAAGAAGGAGGUGCUACAGCAGACUGAUCCACCAUCUAUUCCUGUUACCGAGCUUUACCCUUCUGGGGAGUUUCCUGAAGGUGAAAUUCAACAGUACAAAGUAAUUUAUGGAGAAUAACUUCUGAAGAAAAGAGAGUGUUGGAGCGCCUUCAGAAGCCGUUAUAUAAUUCAGUUCGCCAAGAUGCAGAAGUUCAUCAGCAGGUUCGAAAGUAUAUUAAAGGCAUUUUGAAGCCUGGAAUGUUAAUGAUUGACCUCUGUGAGACCCUGGAGAAUACAGUUCGUAAGUUAAUAUCUGAGAAUGGUCUGCAAUCAGGCAUUGCAUUCCCUACUGGAUGCUCUUUGAACUGGCAAACCUUGAAUUAAUAUGUAUAUAUAUUUUUUUGUUUUUUCUUUUGCUUGAUAAUGUAUUUAUAUGGAUCAGUUUUUAACUGUCAGGGUUGCUGCUCUCAUUGGACCCCAAAUACAGGAGAUAAGACUUGGCUUCAAUAUGAAUAUCAUUUCAUUUAAGGCCACAUUUCCGCAGUAAACUCAUAAUCUUGGUACUGCAGGCUGUUGCAUCUAAGAUCUAAGGAUAUAUAGUGGACUGUGCAUUUACGGUGGCAUUUAAUCCUAUGUUCGAUCCAUUGCUUGAAGCUUCACGUGAAGCCACCAAUACGGGUAUCAAGGAAUCUGGGAUCGAUGUGCAUCUUUGUGAUGUUGGUGCUGCAAUCCAGGAGGUCAUGGAAAGGUGUUUCAAGGGGCCUAGCAAAUCUCUGAGACAUAGGUGAGAAACUUAUUGAAGACCUUCCGUUUCAAGGGCUGUGGAAUAAUGUGGUCCCUUUCUGUUGAUCAGAGACUGUUAAAAGACUAUGUUGGGAUGCUUACAAAACUGGAGGAAAAAAUGGAAUAAAAAGCAUAAGCAGAAGGCGCUCCGACAAGCUAAGUUUAGCUUUUUAUUUUAUAUUGAGAUGUUGGGUGUUUUAACGGAUUUGUUUAUGUAAUGAAUUUAUUUGUGAGAAACAUUCAUAGUCAUUCCUUCUGUGAUUUCUCAGCGUGCAAAUGUCUAUGGCUAUUGUGAAAGUACAUUUGCUACUUUUCCAGGUCUUGCUGGACUACGAGUGGGAUAUGGAGCAUUGCCUUUGAGCAUCAUUGAGUUCUUUGGAGAGCAAAUGAAUCAUAUAAUGUCUCUGUUGCAGCUGAAGUUUGAAUGUGCAGCAUUGAGAAAUCCUAAUUAUGUAGAGGUUAUGCCUUUGCUAUUCUAGGGCUUUACUUUUGUUUGGCAAUUAAGGUGGUGGUGGUUCUUGGUGAUGAUUAUGCUGAUUCAUGGGUGGUGAAGCAUCGGAUGUUAGUGGAAAAAAUUAUAAUAAAGCUGCGACCGGCAUGCCGAGCUUCGUUCCUCUAGUGAUUCCCUUUUAAAAUCCCACGCGGGGUCUUAUUGCACUUGAAGCUCUUGAUCCUAACUGUGGAACCACAACAAUCCUAAAGGUUAGGCUGUACCGAUUUUAGACAAUCUGCAGUGCAAGAGCCGCAUUGACUAACAGUGCAUGACCACCGAAAGGAAGGGCAAGAACGAGUGUCGACAGAGGAGGAGGUGGCAGUGGUACCAACCAUUGACCUCUCUGAAGCCAAACUCAGAUGCUAUGGUACGUUCGCAUAAGUUAUUGCUAUUCGUUGUAUAGUCUCUUUUUUCAUCAUUGUAUAGGGAAUUCCCAUUUUCAUAGGCAAUCAUUUUCGUAGGUUUUAUAUAUUGGCAUCUGUAUAUAUUUAUACAAUUUGGCACAUACAACAACAAGCCAAUCCUUUGAGAUCGAACCAAGGAACUCAUGAAUGCUGGCCUUGGGCCUUUAGCUAAGUUGAGAAAAUGUCUGCAGUCUAGAGUGUAUUUAUUGUGGUAAAAGAUUGAAGGUUUAGGUUUGGAUGAUAAACAAUUCCAUUAAUUCUGAAAGGGGGUAUGAGAAAUGCUGAUGUUGUUGUAGAGUAGUUUCAAUACAUCUCAAUUUGUAAUUGGUUUCCUGAGAUUGAAUUAGUCCCGAUAGAAUCCUGAUGCGAUUUUCCUGUUUUGUCUGAUUCUUGUAUAUGGGUUUUAUUGUUUAGAAGAAAAGCAUAUUUGGGAUGGGGGAGGGAAAGUUGAGUGGGACAAUCGGAUUUUCUACUUUUCAAAAUGUAGGUAUUUUAUAUUGGCAUUUUAUUCUUUAGAUGGUUUUUGUGAUGAUAUUUUCUUCUACAGGAAUUAAUUGAUAUUUUACAUGACGUUUGUUCAUAUUUUUAAGAUGGUCUUAUUGUCACCUAUGUCGCAUCAUAGUAUCUAUCAUUGUCAUCUUUCACACAUCCAAGUAUCUAACAAACAUGUCAGUUUCUUUGGUUAUUUGCCCCUUUUCUCAAUCGUACUGAGGAUAUGAUUACUUUGCCUUAAUAUUUUCUUCCACUAUAACCCUCUGGCAGAAGUUGGAAUAGAUGCAAGUUGAAGGUGGUUUUCACUACCUUAGGUUCACUUAAGCUUCAAGUCUUUGUCCGCACUAUGCAGUUGUAAUAAUUUUUUCAUUUACUUUGCCCUUGCCGGCCUUAUGGGAGCCAAUUAGACCUUUGUGUUUCUUCUAGGCUUUCUCAUUUUCUCUCGGUUUGGGUA